AACAAACCUAUUUAUAAAAACAAAGAAGCUCCAUUGAAAGUAACUGAAAUCGCCAUCAGAUACAAACGUGUUAUUGAAAACAUAUUUUGGAAAAGAAUCAUGGACAAGUUAGGCAGCAUUAUAUCUGCUGCGACUGGCAUCGCGGAACUUUUAGGAACAUCUGGUGAAGGACAGAUUGAUCGUGGUGGAGGAAAAAUGAUCUCGUGGAGUUUUAAAGGUCAAUUGAUGGGGAUUCAAUGGAAAUACAUUGGAUUAUGUUUGGAUCAAAGUACCGGGGAAACCGGUCACUCUGUUACAAAAAGCAGGAAUGGGGCCAUUGAGCAUUCCAUGAAAGACUUAUUCAACAAACUAGCUUCAAAGGGUUUACUUUAAUAUAUUCUACAAUCAGUUGACGAUACCUAUAUCGGAUAAGAAAUACUAACACUCUCUAAAAAAAUUUAUUAAGCAGAAAAAAAAACUUCAU